rnacentral:rRNA from 1 species
GUGGGGAAUUUUGGACAAUGGGCGCAAGCCUGAUCCAGCAAUGCCGCGUGUAGGAAGAAGGCCUUCGGGUUGUAAACUGCUUUUGUACGGAACGAAACGGUCCUGGUUAAUACCUGGGGCUAAUGACGGUACCGUAAGAAUAAGCACCGGCUAACUACGUGCCAGCAGCCGCGGUAAUACGUAGGGUGCAAGCGUUAAUCGGAAUUACUGGGCGUAAAGCGUGCGCAGGCGGUUUUGUAAGACAGGCGUGAAAUCCCCGGGCUCAACCUGGGAAUUGCGCUUGUGACUGCAAGGCUGGAGUGCGGCAGAGGGGGAUGGAAUUCCGCGUGUAGCAGUGAAAUGCGUAGAUAUGCGGAGGAACACCGAUGGCGAAGGCAAUCCCCUGGGCCUGCACUGACGCUCAUGCACGAAAGCGUGGGGAGCAAACAGGAUUAGAAACCCCGGUAGUCC